CUUGAGGGUAUGGAGAACUGCCUCUGACAUCCUUAUGGGGUUUUGGGUCUUCUGGAGUUUGAGGAUGAACUGAAUUGCUUCUGGAAAGGAUCUCUCCAGGUUGUUCAGCCAAUUAACAUCCACUCCUGAAGAUGCAAUUUGUGGAUGUCUGGGUGGGGAAUCUGCCCUUCCUCUGUGUGAGGAGAGAUGAGACCAGUGGAAAUCGGGUGUGGAAGACAGUCGGUCAUACGUAGCAGAUAAGGAUACCAUGUCUGCCUGAGCCAAUUGGGUACUGCUACUAUCACAUUGGCCCUGCCCUGUUUGAUCUUCAAUAUCACCCUGUGUAUGAGGGAACAGGGGAAUGCAUAUGACAGGUUCCUGAAUACCUAAGGUUCUGAGGGUAGCCCUCGAGUCCGUCAAAGUGUGCAGAGAUGGAUUUGUGGACUCUGCAAAGAGCUUUGUACUGUUGAAUGGGAGGUCUUCUACAGUGGACAACCUCUCUGGGGAAAUCCUGACAGCUGGAACCAGGAGGCUUAUCUCAUUACUACGGCUGCUGUGUCCAUAGAGUCCAGCACGGCCUGCAGGGCAGUAUGGGAUAUUAACCUGCCCUCUUUAAUGUGUGUUUUAAAUUGAUCUUUCUUGCUGUUGGCAGCAAAUCAAUAAAGGAUGUCAAUUGGU